AAAGAAUAUGAAAACAACCUACAGAAAAUAAAUACAGAGAUGCAAGUUUAUAGAGAUGAAAUUAAAAGGUUAUCUGAUUUGAUUUCCGACUUACAAGACGUCGGAAAACAAAAUGCUGUUGAAAGAGCUACCCAAUUCGAGGAUUUAUAUGCUAAGCACAGUGUGAUCAACAAAGUCCUACAACAAAGAUUGAUGCCCAUUGACAAACUGAUUCAAAUCUUUAACCAAAACCUGGAGACAAGGGAGACAAAUAUCAGAAAGAACAAGAAGUUAAAAGCCAUUUUGAUUGCAUUAUAACUUUACAAGAAGAUAGAAACAAAAAUGAGGCUAAUAUUUCAAACACGAUUGAAACUUUAAAUAUGAAGAUUGAAACUAGCGCGAAAGAAGUUUUACGGCUGUCAACAGAUUUAAAAACAUUAGGUAAGAUUUUGGUGCAUUAUAUUUUGCUUCAAACUUUAA